AGUUUUUAAUUAAUAUAUUUAUAUUUAAAAAAUAUCGAAACUAUAUCUGCAUGGUACGAUACGGUACUGAAUCGUAUUGUUCCAGUCCAGGACCGAAACCUCGGCACGGGUCAAAAUUUUAAACCUUGAUUAUAACGGAAACCUUUUACUUUCUACUACUAUUCCUUUGUUGUAUUCCUGUUUAUUGGAUAGGCCAUGCUCAUUGUACUUAUUUCUGUUUAGUUUUAAGCAAUUCUGCAUCAAUUUUGCAAAUGAAAAGCUUCAACAACAUUUUAAUGAGGUGUGAAGUUAUAUUUUAUUGGUAGCAAAUUUGUUUGUGUUUAUAUGCUUAGCUUUCUGUUAACGGUUAGGGAUGAGAUAUUAUAUCUUUUUUGUGAUGGUGCAACAUGUUUUUAAGAUGGAGUCGGAAGAAGACAGGAAUGAGGAAAUUAAUUGGAGCUAUAUUGAAAUCAAGAUGUUCUAGAUUUGAUUGAGAAGAAACCUAUUGGGAUUAUUUCGCUAUUGGAUAAGGCUUGCAUGUUCCCAAGGUCAACACAUCAAACAUUUUCUGCCUUGACUGUUUCAGAAUCUUGGAUCACAUUCCAGAUUGGGAAAGGAAAAAUUUGCUGAAAUGGAUUUGAUCAUAGCGCAUUAUGCUGGAAAGGUUGACUCCACAAACUGUUUGAUUCAUGGAACAAUGUGCGACCUAAUAGAUUUGUUGUACCCUAAUGAAAUUUUGUGGUUUAUGAAUCAAGAAAAAAUUACUUGUAUUUUUGUAUGUCUAUUUUUUAUUUAUUUUAUUGCUACUUUGAUUCGAGUUUUAU